UGUAUUCCUUAUCUGUUAUCUAUUUUAUAUGUUUAUGUGGAGCCUAUCUUCCUGCUAUUUUCCCAGUCGCUAUAAAACAGCGGGAAGAUAGGCCCUGAUGUAGUUGCCGCUUUAACUCUCAAU
rfam:Providencia rettgeri DSM 1131 genomic scaffold Scfld2, whole genome shotgun sequence.